AAAAUAUUCUAUACCAAAUUUCGAGAAAAUAAUCAAUCAGACCACUAUAGCAAAUAGUUGUCAUACAAACUGACUUAUCAAAAUCAAGGUGUUGAAUGGAAACUUUUUUCUCUGUAAAUAGUAUUAUAGGUUCGGAAUAACCGAAGCCAACGCUUUUUUCUAUUUUUAAAUAAAUUUCCUCAUAUUUAAUGAUACUGCCUAAUUGCACUCAGUGAAGGGGUUCGAAGUCGAUUAUUAAGGAUGAAAAUUCAAAUUUGUUAACUCAAGCGGGUUUAUUAGGGAGACAGAAAAAGAUGGUUUGACAACGAGUAUACUUAUGUAUGUAUAUGAAAGUGCUCUCAAACCAACAUUCGACAUACUACAGAACGAUUCCCUUGCUCUUGCAAAAUGCUUGCACGGUGCACGCAUUGCACAAAUUUUCCAAUUGGUGCAACGACACAACAAAACACACGCAGAAAAAUAUUUACAAUGGCUGUAAAAUAUGUCAGCCCAAAACCCAUGUUUAUUUUCGUGCAAUGACACAUAAAAAAUAAUUGUAACCCUGUGUUCGUUGUCAUUUUAUAUAAAGACAUAUUACGCCGUUAAACUGUUGAGAAGGGUAAAUUUUAAAUAGAUUUCAUAAUUUCUAUAUAAGGUGCGACCCCAGCGGGGAGGCAACAGCCAAACAAGAAGUGAAAGGAGAGUGAUGUGCUCUCCAUUAUAGAGUUUUUGAUGGAAGAGACGUAGGUUUAUAAGUUUUUUUUUAUUUUUAAUCUAAUUCGGUUUUCUACUUUUUCUGUCUUUAACUGCGCAAUUGUUUUAUAAACGAUUUUUACAAAAAUCGCAGUUGGAUGUCUCAUGGGAUCUGGUGCGUUGGAUGGUCCGGCAUUUGAAGGCGCAGUACCGUAAAACCAGUGACUGGCUCGCGUCAACGGGCGCAGGACUUCAAGAUGAAUCUGACGCAAGAACCGUAGAAGCUGAGGAAAAAAUUUAGAAAGCGGUUACCGGCCACGCAACCGUUACUGAACAGUUGGCGGCUAUCCAAGCUGAAAAAAUUGCUAUGGAAGCGAAAAAGUUGGAAUUUGAGAAAUAUAAAUUCGAAAAAAAUUAGGUACAAAGUUAAAAAAAUUAGAUAUAGAAUUAAAAAAAAUGGAAACUGAUGAUAAAUAGAAGUUAUUAGAAUUACAAAUGAAAGAAAGAAUGGCUAUGUAUGAAAUUGAAAAAAAUAUGAAAAUAAAAAUAAUUAAAUAUACUAAAUUAUA
rnacentral:lncRNA from 1 species